rnacentral:misc_RNA from 1 species
GCAGUACCCGAAGAUGGUAUCCUAACCGCAAGGAGGGAGCUGUUUAAGGUAAGGCAGGUAACUGGGACUAAGNUCGUAACAAGGUAGCCGUACCGGAAGGUGCGGCUGGAUCACCUCCUUUCAGGGAGUAAUCUGCUUUAUAAUACUAUAAAGUAAGAUACGGUCGAACAGGUUUAAUUGAUAAGGUUCUACAUAACUUUUUAGAGUUUAUAUAUGGGGCUUAUAGCUCAGCUGGUUAGAGCGCAUCUCUGAUAAGGAUGAGGUCCGUGGUUCGAGUCCACGUAGGCCCACCAUUUAAUUUGGGGCUGUAGCUCAGCUGGGAGAGCAAUUCCCUUGCACGGAAUAGGUCGCAGGUUCGAUCCCUGUCAGCUCCACAAGAAUUUAAAUUUUAGAUAUUUGACAAUUUGGAAAUUAACGCGGGUAAUAAAGUAAUAAUUUUAUAUUACUACUUUAUUAUUUAGAAAAUAUCACAUCAUUGUAUGUUGUGAUAUCUUCAAUUAUAUCGUUUAAAUAAUUUUUUAUUUAAACGAUGUUGAAAUCAUUAAAACACUCAAGUCAUAUUGAACUUGUAAAAGCUACUAAGAGCACACGGAGGAWNGCCUUGGGUACAUGGAGGCGAUGAAGGACGUGGUAAGCUGCGAUAAGCUUCGGGUAGGUGCACACAACUG